rnacentral:rRNA from 1 species
AUUAACUGGCGGCUGCCUACACAUGCAGUCGAACGGAGUAUCGGUAAUUGCUGCUUGAUUCGUGGGCGGAGGGGGGAGUGAGGCCUAUGAGUCUGACUGGUAGUGGGGGACAACGUUUCUUAGGGAACGCUAAUACCGCAUCCGUCCAAUUUGAGAAAGCAAGGGACCUUCAGUCCUUGCGCUAUCGGAUGAGCCUAGGUCGAUAUAGCUAUAACGAGAGGUAGGGGUUCAGCUAGGCCACGAUCCCUAACUGGUCUGAGAGGAAGAUCAUGACCCCUGGAACUGACACACAGGCCAAACUCCUACUCCUGGCAGCAGUGGGGAAUAUUGAUUAAGGGGUGAAAGCCUGAGCCAGACAUGCCGCGGGCGUGAGUAAGGACUUCGGAUUGGGAAUGUCUUUGAGUUGGGAGGAAGGGCAAGAAGCUAAUACCUAGCUGUUUUGACGUUGCCGACACAAAAAGAACCGGCUAAAUCUGUGCCGUAACCGCGGUAAUACAAAAGGGGAGAGCGAUAAUCGUAAUUACUGUUCGUAAACCGCGCGCACGUGGAUCGUUAAGUUGGAUGAGAAAGCCCCGGGCUCAGCCUGGCCACGGGAAUCCGAAACUGGUCAGGUAUACUAUGGUAAAGGGUGGGGGAAUUUCAUGUGUAGUGUUGAAAUGCAUAGAUAUAAAUAUCGAAACCAUUGGCGAAGGCGACCCCCUGGACUGAUACUGACACUGAUGUGCGAAAGCGAAGCGAGCAGACAAGACUAGAAUACCAUGCUAGUGCGACGCCGUACACGUAUAUCAACUAGACUUUGGGGAGUCCUCGACGAUUAUAGUUGGCGCUACCUAACGCUAUCACGUUGACCGCCUGGGCAGUAGAGCCGCGGCGUUAGAUCUCACUGCAUUUGAUGAGGGGUCGCUACAGCGACGCAGCAGUGGUGUGAUUCUAUUUGAUGCUACGAACGUACCAUACAUGCUUGCUGGCAGUAUCCUAAGGAUGGUGGCGUCGUAGGUCGACUCAGACGAUGAUGCUCCCUCCUGUCUGUCUGUUAUGGUGAGUAGUACGAACGAGGCCAUCUCUACUAUUUGCGGUAGUGGGCUUAGACAGUACGUCGACCUGAUGGAGAAGAGAAUGCCUUAUGCGUUACGCUCAUGCGUC